GAUGAACGCUGACAGAAUGCUUAACACAUGCAAGUCAUUGGCGAAGCUGCGCUUGCGCAGUCUAGCCAAGGCGGACGGGUGAGUAACGCGUAAGGAACUUGCCCUGCAGACAGGGAUAACAGACGGAAACGACUGAUAACACCUGGUAUUGUCAGGCUGGCGCAUGCCGGCCUGAUGAAAGGAGACGCUGCAGGAGAGCCUUACGUCCUAUUAGCUAGUUGGUGGGGUAACGGCCCACCAAGGCGAUGAUAGGUAGCCGGCCUGAGAGGGUGAACGGCCACAAGGGGACUGAGAUACGGCCCUUACUCCUACGGGAGGCAGCAGUGGGGAAUAUUGGACAAUGGGGGCAACCCUGAUCCAGCAAUUCUGUGUGCACGAAGAAGGUUUUCGGAUUGUAAAGUGCUUUCAGCAGGGAAGAAGAAAGUGACGGUACCUGCAGAAGAAGCGACGGCUAAAUACGUG
rnacentral:rRNA from 1 species